AUUGAACGCUGGCGGCAGGCUUAACACAUGCAAGUCGAGCGGGGGAAGGUAGCUUGCUACUGGACCUAGCGGCGGACGGGUGAGUAAUGCUUAGGAAUCUGCCUAUUAGUGGGGGACAACAUCUCGAAAGGGAUGCUAAUACCGCAUACGUCCUACGGGAGAAAGCAGGGGAUCUUCGGACCUUGCGCUAAUAGAUGAGCCUAAGUCGGAUUAGCUAGUUGGUGGGGUAAAGGCCUACCAAGGCGACGAUCUGUAGCGGGUCUGAGAGGAUGAUCCGCCACACUGGGACUGAGACACGGCCCAGACUCCUACGGGAGGCAGCAGUGGGGAAUAUUGGACAAUGGGGGGAACCCUGAUCCAGCCAUGCCGCGUGUGUGAAGAAGGCCUUAUGGUUGUAAAGCACUUUAAGCGAGGAGGAGGCUACUUUAGUUAAUACCUAGAGAUAGUGGACGUUACUCGCAGAAUAAGCACCGGCUAACUCUGUGCCAGCAGCCGCGGUAAUACAGAGGGUGCGAGCGUUAAUCGGAUUUACUGGGCGUAAAGCGUGCGUAGGCGGCUUAUUAAGUCGGAUGUGAAAUCCCCGAGCUUAACUUGGGAAUUGCAUUCGAUACUGGUGAGCUAGAGUAUGGGAGAGGAUGGUAGAAUUCCAGGUGUAGCGGUGAAAUGCGUAGAGAUCUGGAGGAAUACCGAUGGCGAAAGCAGCCAUCUGGCCUAAUACUGA
rnacentral:rRNA from 1 species